GAUGAACGCUGGCGGCGUGCCUAAUACAUGCAAGUCGAGCGAACAGACGAGGAGCUUGCUCCUCUGACGUUAGCGGCGGACGGGUGAGUAACACGUGGAUAACCUACCUAUAAGACUGGGAUAACUUCGGGAAACCGGAGCUAAUACCGGAUAAUAUAUUGAACCGCAGGGUUCAAUAGUGAAAGACGGUUUUGCUGUCACUUAUAGAUGGAUCCGCGCCGCAUUAGCUAGUUGGUAAGGUAACGGCUUACCAAGGCAACGAUGCGUAGCCGACCUGAGAGGGUGAUCGGCCACACUGGAACUGAGACACGGUCCAGACUCCUACGGGAGGCAGCAGUAGGGAAUCUUCCGCAAUGGGCGAAAGCCUGACGGAGCAACGCCGCGUGAGUGAUGAAGGUCUUCGGAUCGUAAAACUCUGUUAUUAGGGAAGAACAAAUGUGUAAGUAACUAUGCACGUCUUGACGGUACCUAAUCAGAAAGCCACGGCUAACUACGU
rnacentral:rRNA from 1 species